UCGCGAGACCCGCCCCUCGGCGCCCCCAUUGGUCGCCGCUAGCAACUUCCGGUUCCUCCCGGAAGCCCAGCCGGGCAGCGCGUCCCCUCCUACCGGGAGUGGAGCCCCGAACUCCGGAGUUGCCCCUUACCGGGUUUUAAAAGCGGAAUCGUGCGUGUCACUCCGAGGAAGCGUAGACAGACCCCUCGUACGGCAGCUUCGGGCUCUGCCUGGUGUUCCGGGCUGAUUUGCAAACCUUCCUGCCUCGGGACGAGGUUCCUGUGCAGGUGCAGCGCCGGCGUUUGGGGCCAGUGGUCCUGUGUGGGGCCGCCCGGUGCACGGAAGGCCGCACCUACAACAGCGACCACGGGCACACGGUGGGGAAGCGUGUCCUCCAGAAAUGGCCCCGCCAUGGCUUGAGAUAUCGCGACCCACAGCUGGAUGAUGGCGAUUCGUGUGAGACCCUGCCGCUUCCUUCCUCCAUGUUUGAGGCCAGCCAGGAGAAGGAUGGAGCUGUUCCCCGGGCAGUGGGCUUGCUGAUUAGGCCUCACGGGAAAGGUCAGUGGAGGUGGAUAUGCAGGAAGGAGAAGAAUCGAAGCACACGUGUAACAUAAUUCAGCAAACGAUAAUGAAGGCAUUUCCAACGGAUGGAGAAAAGCACGGAUUCCUCAAUGAAUCCUGUUGGAAUACACAACCAUUACAUGUGGGAAAAAUAGUUUUCACAUUUCGAACCAGCAUAAAUUCAAGAGAGAUAAAAUAUUGUCAUGGAGCAAUUAAAAAAAAAAAU